GCUCGUUUGCACCUGCCGGGGCCGCUCGGGCCGGCCGGGAUCUGGGCCCUCGGGGUUAGAGGGCCCGAGAGAAUGUGGAACCCAGCCGCGUUCCCUGGCCUGGGGAUUGGGGGAGGGGAGAGGUUCCCGCCCGGGUUGGUGCCUUCGCCCCCGCGGUCUGUCCGAGAACACACCGGCCUCUGUUGCAAAAGGGCCGCGCGCGGUGAGGCAUCCCACACCCCCUCACCCCCCCAUCCCCCGACCCGGACGGUUCUCCGGCCGCGUCCUCCUCCUGCCUAAAUCCCCUCCUCCAGGAGUCCUGUAGGAUAAAGCACGCCAGGGUGCCCAGCGCAGGCCUGGCCCUGAGACGGAAGACGGAUGAUGGGUGGAUGAAUUAGAAAAGCCUUAUCCCACGUUCGAUAAGGGCUGUGACAAGUCUUCACCUAUGUAUAAGUACCAAAUUACAAAAUACCUUACAAGUGGUCCAGUCUGAUACCACUCGCCAUCACCACCACCACCAUCGUUUGAUGCUUGAAACUCUCAAUAGGUUGGAGUAAGUACUGUUCAGACACACGUGACAAAUGAUGUCUAUACUCAGUGCCCACAGCUAUGGUGAACCUAGGCUUAGAUGUGAUUCCUGGCUACUGACCUGAACCACAACAGAUUUUCCUCCUACUUAAGAAAGAAUGUUGCCUGCAAGGUCCUCCAACUCAAUCUGCACUCACCCAUAUGAUUUUCUUCAGCCAGUGGGUAUAGCUGACCCAAGGCAAGCAGAGGUUUGAAAUACGCUUACACGGGGCGCCUGGGUGGCUCAGUUGGUUAAGUGACUGCCUUCGGCUCAGGUCAUGAUCCUGGAGUCCCAGGAUCAAGUCCUGCAUUGGGCUCCCUGCUCGGCAGGGAGUCUGCUUCUCCCUCUGACCCUCCCCCGUCUCAUGC